GCCUAUGAUGACAACUUUUGAAUUUCACUGAAAAUGCAAGGUUUAAUAUUUUUGCUAUGGUGCUGAAAUUCUUGAACUAGGACGGUCUGAGGC